AUAUCGAUAAUGUAAAUACUAGACAGCUGUCGGAAGGUGGGUUUUACGCCCCAGGCGAACCAGCAACAACUCCCUACUGUCACAUGCAUAUGUAGGAUAAGACACCACACUAAUCAUGUAAAUACCGGCCAGUAUCCAGAACAGAAAUCCAUCUCACAUCUACAUACUAAACGACACCUCGCAGGAAUUCUACAUCCGCGGAAAGCCAUACUGCACCUCGCGGGGUCUUACUAUGCCCGGCGGCAAGCAGAAUAUAAGUCGUAGGACCGGCCGAUCCUACGCCUAGGGCCGUGUCCCCCCUAGGAAGGGACUGGGCUCCGCCCAUCCAGAAGGCUACUAUGUGCACAAAGGCCGAUGUUCAACCCCAUCGACUAUAGGUGUCCUGCAGAUACUGCCAAGCCAUGCAUGAAUGCCAUAAUGCACCCUCCCAAUACUCUACUAAAAGGAGCAUAAUUAAGACUACCACUCACUCGACUCCGACCCAAUCAUAAACUAACAUCAGGGUUGGGAGUGAGGGGUCAAAGGUGUGCNNNNNNNNNNNNNNNNNNNNNNNNNNNNNNNNNNNNNNNNNNNGAAAUAGAGGAAAUGAAAUCAAUUUANAAAAGAAGUCAUUUCACAAUUCAGAUCCAAUUUAAUUACUCAUAAAGGAGUAUAAUCAAGGCUACCACUUACAAGUCUUUGAAAUAUAGGAAAUGAAAUCAAUUUACAAAAGAAAUCAUUUCACAAUUCAAAUCCAAUUUAACUACUCAUAAAAGAGUAUAAUCAAGGCUACCACUCACAAGUCUUUGAAAUGGAGGAAAUAAAAUCAAUUUACAAAAGAAAUCAUUUCACAAUUCAGAUCCAAUUUAACUACUCAUAAAAGAGUAUAAUCAAGGCUACCACUCAUAAGUCUUUGAAAUAGAGAAAAUGAAAUCAAUUUACAAAAGAAAUCAUUUCAUAAUUCGGAAUCAAUUUGAUUACUCAUCAAUCCCUCGUAAUUCCUCUCAAUAUUCUCUCAAAUGCAUGUACAGAAUAAUCAAGCAUAGAGAAUCAAGAUUAUAGAGGAAUCUACUACAACAAUUAAUCAAUAAGCUCAGGUGGAAUCAAGUCACACUUGGCAACAUUCAUGAAAAUGAAUAAAGAAUGUGCUCAUGGUGCAAAGUACAAACUCCCACUCACCUGCCAAUCCGGCACGGCCUCGAUACGCCUCUAGAAUUUUACAGUAGGCAGCAGGGGACUU
rnacentral:lncRNA from 1 species